rnacentral:misc_RNA from 2 species
AACUCUCAACCCCCCUGUUUUGUAAUGAGAUAGGCGUGGGCUUGGAUUAUGGCUGUCUGUCGGCGUAAAGUCGGCUCAGCUGAAAUACACGAGCAACCCAUUUGAAAUAGACGGUUUGACUCGGCGUAAUAAUUAUUUCGCUGAGGACGUCUUCUUUAAAGUCAGUGGUGCUUCUAAUGCGUAUCAUACACUUUUAGC